rnacentral:rRNA from 1 species
AGCGAACGCUGGCGGCAGGCCUAACACAUGCAAGUCGAACGAACUCUUCGGAGUUAGUGGCGGACGGGUGAGUAACACGUGGGAACGUGCCUUUUGGUUCGGAAUAACUCAGGGAAACUUGUGCUAAUACCGAAUGUGCCCUUCGGGGGAAAGAUUUAUCGCCAUUAGAGCGGCCCGCGUCUGAUUAGCUAGUUGGUGAGGUAACGGCUCACCAAGGCGACGAUCAGUAGCUGGUCUGAGAGGAUGACCAGCCACACUGGGACUGAGACACGGCCCAGACUCCUACGGGAGGCAGCAGUGGGGAAUCUUGCGCAAUGGGCGAAAGCCUGACGCAGCCAUGCCGCGUGAAUGAUGAAGGUCUUAGGAUUGUAAAAUUCUUUCACCGGGGACGAUAAUGACGGUACCCGGAGAAGAAGCCCCGGCUAACUUCGUA